rnacentral:rRNA from 1 species
UGGGGAAUCUUGCGCAAUGGGCGAAAGCCUGACGCAGCCAUGCCGCGUGGAGGAUGAAGGCCUUCGGGUUGUAAACUCCUGUCAGGAGGAACGACGGGGGUAGGAUGAAUAAUUCUAUCUCCCAGACGGUACCUCCAAAGGAAGCCCCGGCUAAUUCCGUGCCAGCAGCCGCGGUAAUACGGAAGGGGCAAGCGUUGUUCGGAAUCAUUGGGCGUAAAGGGCGCGUAGGUGGUCCUGUGUGUCUAUCGUGAAAGCACACGGCUCAACCGUGUAAAGUCGGUGGAAACUGCAGGACUUGAGGUUGGGAGGGGCUGGUGGAAUUCCCUGUGUAGCGGUGAAAUGCGUAGAGAUGGGGGAGAACACUUGUGGCGAAGGCGGCCAGCUGGACCAAUCCUGACACUGAGGCGCGACAGCGUGGGGAGCAAACAGGAUUAGAUACCCUGGUAGUCCCUGAGCGGGCUGGCAAGGCGCAU